rnacentral:rRNA from 1 species
UCUUUUCCUUUUUUGCCCGCCGCCGCGGUAAUACGUAUGGUGCAAGCGUUAUCCGGAUUUACUGGGUGUAAAGGGUGCGUAGGUGGCAAGGCAAGUCUGAAGUGAAAAUCCGGGGCUCAACCCCGGAACUGCUUUGGAAACUGUUUAGCUGGAGUACAGGAGAGGUAAGUGGAAUUCCUAGUGUAGCGGUGAAAUGCGUAGAUAUUAGGAGGAACACCAGUGGCGAAGGCGACUUACUGGACUGCUACUGACACUGAGGCACGAAAGCGUGGGGAGCAAACAGG